AUGAGACUGCCAUCUGGUGGAGGAAACCCGAGGGUAACCUCGACAUCAGAAGGCUCACUUUGUGACGUUUGCUUGGGAAUAUACGAACAUGGAAAACUCGCUCCAAGUAAAGCAAGAGGACUCGGAUGUCCUCCCAUCACACAGAAAGUAGUUUUUAUACAGAAAAUAGCACAACGUGCAAAACAAAACACACGAUCCAUUAAACACAUGCAUAAGAAUGUGUUUGAAAUGAAAUGCACACAAAACAGAUGUGCGUCUCAUGGCAAUUCCCAAAGUUUAAGUGCAGCAAUGCUGCUAUCAAGGGCGAUGGAAUAUGAGACAGCCGACUGGUGGAGGAAACCCAUAGGAACCUUGACAUCAGGGGGCUCACUUUAUGACGUUUGCUUAGGAAUAUACGAACAUGAAAAGUUUGCUCCACAUAAAAGCAAGAAGACUCGGAUGUCCUCCCAUCACACAGAAUAUGGUUUUUAUAUACAGAAAAUAAGCAUGAUAACCAAACUGAAACAUGCAAUCCAAUACCAACAAGGCAUAAGAAUGUGUUUGAAAAUGAAAUGCACACAAUAA
rnacentral:rRNA from 1 species